rnacentral:rRNA from 1 species
CCUACGGUAGGCUGCAGUGGGGAAUAUUGCACAAUGGGGGAAACCCUGAUGCAGCGACGCCGCGUGAGUGAAGAAGUAUUUCGGUAUGUAAAGCUCUAUCAGCAGGGAAGAAGCAAGACGGUACCUGACUAAGAAGCCCCGGCUAACUACGUGCCAGCAGCCGCGGCUAUACGUAGGGGGCAAGCGUUAUCCGGACUUACUGGGUGAAAAGGGAGCGGAGGCGGUAUGGCAAGUCUGAAGUGAAAGCCCAGGGCUUAACCCUGGGAGUGCUUUGGAAACUGUUAGACUAGAGUGCUGGAGAGGUAAGUGGAAGUCCAAGUGUAGCGGUGAAAUGCGUAGAUAUUAGGAGGAACACCAGUGGCGAAGGCGGCUUACUGGACAGUAACUGACGUUGAGGCUCGAAAGCGUGGGGAGCAAACAGGAUUAGAUACCCCGGUAGUC